rnacentral:rRNA from 1 species
UACGUAGGGUGCAAGCGUUGUCCGGAAUUAUUGGGCGUAAAGAGCUCGUAGGCGGUUUGUCGCGUCUGCUGUGAAAACUCGGGGCUUAACCCCGGGCCUGCAGUGGGGUACGGGCAGACUUGAGUGUUGCAGGGGGAGACUGGAAUUCCUGGUGUAGCGGUGAAAUGCGCAGAUAUCAGGAGGAACACCGGUGGCGAAGGCGGGUCUCUGGGCAACAACUGACGCUGAGGAGCGAAAGCGUGGGGAGCGAACAGG